rnacentral:rRNA from 1 species
UACGGGGGGGGCAAGCGUUGUUCGGAAUUACUGGGCGUAAAGGGCUCGUAGGCGGCCAACUAAGUCAGACGUGAAAUCCCUCGGCUUAACCGGGGAACUGCGUCUGAUACUGGAUGGCUUGAGUUUGGGAGAGGGAUGCGGAAUUCCUGGUGUAGCGGUGAAAUGCGCAGAUAUCAGGAGGAACACCGGUGGCGAAGGCGGGUCUCUGGGCCGAAACUGACGCUGAGGAGCGAAAGCGUGGGGAGCGAACAGG